UACAGAGGGUGCAAGCGUUAAUCGGAAUUACUGGGCGUAAAGCGCGCGUAGGCGGUCGAGUGAGUCGGAUGUGAAAUCCCCGGGCUUAACCUGGGAAUUGCAUUCGAUACUGCUCGGCUAGAGUGUGGAAGAGGGAAGCGGAAUUUCCGGUGUAGCGGUGAAAUGCGUAGAUAUCGGAAGGAACACCAGUGGCGAAGGCGGCUUCCUGGUCCAACACUGACGCUGAGGCACGAAAGCGUGGGGAGCAAACAGG
rnacentral:rRNA from 1 species